GAAGGUAUAGCUCAGUGAUAGUGUGUGCUUAGCAUGCACAAGGUCCUGAGUUCAAUCCCCAGUACCUCCG
rnacentral:tRNA from 1 species